UAAUUUAUGAUCAAAAACCCUUAGAAAAUCGAAAAAAUAAGGAUAAGGUCGCAGAGGUAACCGCCAUUAUGUUUGUGCAUAGUACCUUUGUGAAGAUCAUCUACAGCCUUCAGGGACUCUUCUACAGGUGUUUUGUGGUCAGGUGCAUAUUAAGAAAUGUUCAACUCGAAGAAAAGAUAACUUUCUGGUAUCAUAAAUUCCAAAGAAGAAGGAAGGAUAUGUACGAAUUAUUCUGGCUGGAAUAUCAUUCUGUUACAUGACAUCUGAUCCAGCAACAGCAUCAGUUGCAUAUGUUAUCAGUCAGAUAGUACUGGAUUGGAUUGAUGGAGACGCAGCAAGAUAUUUUAAC